rnacentral:rRNA from 1 species
GACUUGCUCUGGAUUCAGCGGCGGACGGGUGAGUAAUGCCUAGGAAUCUGCCUGGUAGUGGGGGACAACGUUUCGAAAGGAACGCUAAUACCGCAUACGUCCUACGGGAGAAAGCAGGGGACCUUCGGGCCUUGCGCUAUCAGAUGAGCCUAGGUCGGAUUAGCUAGUUGGUGAGGUAAUGGCUCACCAAGGCGACGAUCCGUAACUGGUCUGAGAGGAUGAUCAGUCACACUGGAACUGAGACACGGUCCAGACUCCUACGGGAGGCAGCAGUGGGGAAUAUUGGACAAUGGGCGAAAGCCUGAUCCAGCCAUGCCGCGUGUGUGAAGAAGGUCUUCGGAUUGUAAAGCACUUUAAGUUGGGAGGAAGGGUUGUAGAUUAAUACUCUGCAAUUUUGACGUUACCGACAGAAUAAGCACCGGCUAACUCUGUGCCAGCAGCCGCGGUAAUACAGAGGGUGCAAGCGUUAAUCGGAAUUACUGGGCGUAAAGCGCGCGUAGGUGGUUUGUUAAGUUGGAUGUGAAAUCCCCGGGCUCAACCUGGGAACUGCAUCCAAAACUGGCAAGCUAGAGUAUGGUAGAGGGGUGGGGUGGGAUUUUCUGUGUAGCGGUGAAAAUGCGUAGAUUAUAGGGAGGGAACACCAGUUGGCGAAGGGCGACCACCCUGGACUGAUACUGACACUGAGGUGCGAAAGCGUGGGGAGCAAACAGGAUUAGAUACCCCUGGGUAGUCCACGCCGUAAACGAUGUCAACUAGCCGUUGGGGAGCCCUUGAGCUCUUAGUGGCGCAGCUAACGCAUUAAGUUGACCGCCUGGGGGAGUACGGCCGCAAGGUUAAAACUCAAAUGAAUUGACGGGGCCCGCACAGCGGUGGAGCAUGGUGGNUUAAUUCGAAGCACGCGAAGANCUUACCANNNNNGACAUCNNGACUUCAGAGAUGNUU